AUUGAACGCUGGCGGCAGGCCUAACACAUGCAAGUCGAGCGGAUGAAGGGAGCUUGCUCCUGGAUUCAGCGGCGGACGGGUGAGUAAUGCCUAGGAAUCUGCCUGGUAGAGGGGGAUAACGUCCGGAAACGGGCGCUAAUACCGCAUACGUCCUGAGGGAGAAAGUGGGGGAUCUUCGGACCUCACGCUAUCAGAUGAGCCUAGGUCGGAUUAGCUAGUUGGUGGGGUAAAGGCCUACCAAGGCGACGAUCCGUAACUGGUCUGAGAGGAUGAUCAGUCACACUGGAACUGAGACACGGUCCAGACUCCUACGGGAGGCAGCAGUGGGGAAUAUUGGACAAUGGGCGAAAGCCUGAUCCAGCCAUGCCGCGUGUGUGAAGAAGGUCUUCGGAUUGUAAAGCACCUUAAGUUGGGAGGAAGGGCAGUAAGUUAAUACCUUGCUGUUUUGACGUUACCAACAGAAUAAGCACCGGCUAACUUCGUG
rnacentral:rRNA from 1 species